UGGCUUCCUACACGGAGGGUAAAAAUUGCCCGCGGUACCCUGACCGUGCAAAGGGUAGCGAAAUAAUUUGCCUAUUAAUUGUUGGCCAGAAAUGAAUGGUGUGACGCUGGUGGCGCUGUCUCAUUAGCAUUUAUUUGAAUUUGACUUUUGGGUGAAAAGGCCCAGAUGAGCCUGAAAGACGAUUAGACCCUAUCGAACUUUAAGUAGACCUGUUUCGGAGGUAAAACUUCGAAAAUGAGCACGCUUUUGGUUGGGAAAACCGGAGGUAAGAAAAACCACCUCCUCCCUUUGAGACACCCGUUAGUAUGGGGUAAUAGAGAUUUUGCCCUAAGGGCAAUUGGCCUGAUGGAAAGUAAAUAAGCAGAGAAUAAUAAAGGUCCGACAGGACAUAGAUAACUUAUAAAACGAACCUAAAGACUUGUUGAGUGUAGCGAGAACCUGUUAAGGAGGAAUAGUUACCGUAGGGGAUAACAGCGUAAUCUUCCCGGCGAGACCACAUUAAGGGGAGGG
rnacentral:rRNA from 1 species